GUCCACGCCGUAAACGAUGUUCACUAGGUGUUGGGGGUAUUGACCCCCUCAGUGCCGGAGCUAACGCAUUAAGUGAACCGCCUGGGGAGUACGGUCGCAAGACUAAAACUCAAAGGAAUUGACGGGGCCCGCACAAGCGGUGGAGCAUGUGGUUUAAUUCGAUGCAACGCGAAGAACCUUACCUGGGCUUGACAUCUGGGGAAUCCUCUGGAAACAGAGGAGUGCCUUUCGGGGAGCCCCAAGACAGGUGCUGCAUGGCUGUCGU
rnacentral:rRNA from 1 species